AUAUCGUCAGCAAAAACGGGCAAAGAGCAGCCAUUUUUGACAAGAAGGGCCGCUCUAGCAAAGAAGAGACUGGUCUAGCUCCUAACCUACUAACAGCCUGCACUUCCGCUGGAGCUCAAAAGUUGCACAAGGUAAUGAAGUACUUGCACAACAAAUUUCAGAUCUUAACUCAAACAUAUAAGAUAGUUUCAUGCCUAACAUAUUUUCCAAUGUACACAUAUUCUAGCAGCCAUUUUGGAAUGAUGAUGUCAUAUAAUGUAACAGGUGGUGGUCCACUGGAAGCGCCAAUAGUUGAACUUUCAGUACCUGCACUCAAAUUGAUCCAAACACAUUUAGUUUAGAAGAUAAUAUUAUACACAAAAACGUAAAAAAACAAACGUCUACUCGCUUUGGUUGUUGCACUGUAAGUAUAACAUUCAGUCUGCCCUAAGACCCCUAACUUUUCAGUAUUUGCAAGACAAGACAUAUACCACAAGUAUUUUAAUGGUAUUCAUAAGGAUUACAUCACAAAACAUUGUUUUAAUGAAUUCAUAAUUAUAUAAUGAGAUUCAUAAUGAUGACACCCUACAACUCUGCCAGAUUGUGAUUUUUCAUAACACAGACCAUUUACUGAACUAGAACUUGUUACUAGGAGACAAAUUAGUUCAAUAUGGAAUGUAUUGACUCAGCAAGUUUGGACUGGAUUGAGAUAGUGUGAACAGCUUGCGCAAAAAUUCAAAGAUAGCUCAUUCUGAAUAGUCUCUGUGGUUGGUGGAACUCAUGGCUGCAUAUCUCCAGAUGUGAAAGGAACCAGUGACUGCCUAAAGUAUCAACUAGUGCAUCUGAUGCAUGUGCAUGCUUAGCAGCAAGCUAGAAGGCUUGAAGUCAUUCAUGAUGUGUUCUAUGCUAUUGCCAAGUUGUGUAUUUAUGUCAAAGUUUGUGUAACUGCUUUGCAAACACCAUUCAUUUGUAUGGCAUUUACCUUGUACGUUGUUAUUCAGAUCCUUCUUAAUUAUUUUUAGCUUGCUACGUCGAUGGUAAACGGCUUGCUCAAAAAUUCAAACUUUCCGCAAUCAUUUAACACAACUUUAUGCUAGUUUGACUCAAAUUCAUAAUUUUAAGUGUUUAUCGUAUGUUAAACUGUCUUCUAGAUAGCUUUAUUUUUAUGAAAAACUGUUCUCAUUAAUAUAUUCAUGAGGCAACUUGUA